UCCUAAUAAUGUUGUAUUUACAGAAAACCAUUAGAAGAUGGAUGGUGUAUGAAUAAAUAGCCUACAUUACAAUGCAUUUCAGCUGCUUUCAUUUUAAUAUCUUGAGUAAACAUUUCAUUUGAAAAUGUUCCUGGACAUAUAGUCAACAUA